rnacentral:rRNA from 1 species
CUUCGGCAGGUCCCUUUCAGCGUUGAAGAUCCAGAUUACCAGGGGCUUGAGCUGGAAACGAUGUCGCCAUGUGAGAAGCACGGCAAGGCAUCUGAGAGGCUUGUCGCAUUUGAAGGAACAGACACAGGGAGAAGGUUCCUAGCAUGUGCAGAGCCGGAAGGGCAGAAUUGUGGGUUUGUUGAAUGGGUUGAUCACCAGUGGCCCCCAACAAUGCAAAAUGCAUUGUUGAAGCUGUGGGCCAUGGUUGAAGAUAGCAAGAGUGCUAGGGUGAAUGAUAAUCUUGAAAGUUCUUUCACUAUCCACCAUCUGACAGAAGAGAAGAACAAGCUGGAGGCCAACUAUGACAAGUUAGUCCAAGAUGUGCAUGAACUUAUGAGCUUCCAGGAGGACAGGGUGGUGGAUUUCAGAUAUCUGCAGGAUAGCCUUACAUAUCAGCAGCAAUGCAGAAGUAACUGCUGGCUGAUAUGA